GCUACCACAUCCAAGGUAAGGCAGCAGGCACGCAAAUUACCCAUUUCCAGAACGGAGAGGUAGUGACAAAAAAUAACGAUACAGGGACUCUUUUGAGGCCCCGUAAUCGGAAUGAGUACACUUUAAAUCCUUUAACAAGGAUCUGAUUGGAGGGCAAGUCUGGUGCCAGCAGCCGCGGUAAUUCCAGCUCCAAUAGCGUAUAUUAAAGUUGUUGCAGUUAAAAAGCUCGUAGUUGGUUUUGCGUUCAACGCUGUCGGUUCGCCGCCUGACGGUGAAACUGGCAUGUCGUUGUACGUCCUGCCGGUGGUAAAUAAUUGCCUGGUGUGUGACAAAAAAACUUUUAGUUAUUUUGUUGCUACCUUUGUUGCAAUUGUUUACCGAUAUCCUACCCGGUGCUCUUAAACGAGUGUCGCGGUAGGCCGGCAAAUUUACUUUGAACAAAUUAGAGUGCUUAAAGCAGGCUAAAAAUAUAGCCUGAAUAGUGGUGCAUGGAAUAAUAGAAUAGGACCUCGGUUCUAUUUUGUUGGUUUUUGGAACACAAGGUAAUGAUUAAUGUAGACAAUCGGGGGCAUUCGUAUUGCGGCGUUAGAGGUGAAAUUCUUGGAUCGUCGCAAGACGCACAAAAGCGAAAGCAAUUGCCAAGUAUGUCUUAAUUGAUCAAGAACGAAAGUUAGAGGCCCGAAGGCGAUCAGAUACCGCCCUAGUUCUAACCAUAAACGAUGCCAGCCAGCGAUCCGACGUGUUCAUAUUAUGACACGUGCGGGCAGCUUUUACCCGGGAAACCAAAGCUGUUGGGUUCCGGGGGAAUGUAUGGUUGCAAAGCUGAAACUUAAAGGAAUUGACGGAAGGGCACCACCAGGAGUGGAGCCUGCGGCUUAAUUUGACUCAACACGGGAAACCUCACCGGGUCAGGACAUUGUAAGGAUUGACAGAUUGAUAGCUCUUUCUUGAUUCAGUGGGUAGUGGUGCAUGGCCGUUCUUAGUUGGUGGACCGAUUUGUCUGGUUAAUUCCGAUAACGAACGAGACUCUAGCCUAUUAACUAAGCGAUCCAAUAUCCAGGCUAUUGGCGCUAUAAUUCCUUCUUAAGGGGACAGGCGGCUUUUAGCCGCACGAAAUUGAGCAAUAACAGGUCUGUGAUGCCCUUAGAUGUCCUGGGCCGCACGCGCGCUACACUGAUGCAAUCAGCGUGUAUUUCCCUUGCCUAACGGCUCGGGUAAUCCGUUGAACCUGCUUCGUGCUAGGAAUUGGGGAUUGUAAUUUAUUCCCCAUAAACGAGGAAUUCCCAGUAAGCGUAAGUCAUAAGCUUACGUUGAUUACGUCCCUGCCCUUUGUACACACCGCCCGUCGCUACUACCGAUUGAAUGAUUUAGUGAGGUCUUCGGACUGGUGUUAGUUUAUCUUUACCAAGUUUAGAUUAACAACCGCUAGAAAGAUGACCAAACUUGAUCAUUUAGAGGAAGUAAAAGUCGUAACAAGGUUUCC
rnacentral:rRNA from 1 species